rnacentral:rRNA from 1 species
UACGAAGGGGGCUAGCGUUGCUCGGAAUGACUGGGCGUAAAGGGCGCGUAGGCGGCGGUCAUAGUCAGAUGUGAAAUUCCUGGGCUUAACCUGGGGGCUGCAUUUGAUACGUGAUUGCUUGAGUAGGGGAAGAGGGGUCGUGGAAUUUCCCAGUGUAGAGGUGAAAAUUCGUAGAUAUUGGGAAGAACACCGGUGGCGAAGGCGGCGACCUGGUCCUUGACUGACGCUGAGGCGCGAAAGCGUGGGGGAGCAAACAGG